AUUCAGCUGAUGAGUCCCAAAUAGAACGAAACACGUCUUCUGGAU
rnacentral:hammerhead_ribozyme from 1 species